UAGAACUAGGACUUCCUGGUAACCCUGUAUCCUGGAGGGACAGGAUCUGGUCACUGUGACCAGGUCUCAGGUGACAUUAACAUCUGAACGAGCUGCAGGACCCGUCCACACAGUGUUGGCAGGACCAGGUCCUGGCAGCUCUUGGUGCCCAGUGCUGACUCCUGGGGUCCAGGCCCCCAUGAUGCCUUCCUGGCCAGACUUCCAAAGGACUGAGUGAGGCAGGACUUUGUGCCCGAGGUUGGAUCAGGGGCCUACAAACCAGAGGAAGGACACUUCAGCCAGCGGAUGGACAACAGCCCCUGAUCCCAAGAAUCUCCCUCUCUUGAGGCUACAAAUGGAUCAACCCACCAGGCAGCCUUAGACAUCAAGCCCUGCUCCGGCCACACUCGGGAAGCUGGUUGGUGUACGCACAGCAGAAGCUUGAGGACCUUCUACACAUUUGACCUCUUGUUUGUUGUUUUUUCUGUUCCUGUAGUGACUGCCUUUGCAGUCGGCCUAGCCACGGUGGCCCCUGACCCCUGGGAUUGGGAGGCACGUCUUCCUCUUGCCUUAGGUUACCUGAUACUGUGUAUGGACAUAAUUGUUUUCAAAUGUUUGCUAAAAUGAGCCUGCUUGCCAGAAUCUUCCUACACCUGCUCCUCGCCCUCCCUUCUGUAUGUGAGGACUUACCUCCCAAACCACAAGUAACUGCAAUGAAGUCAGGGUUUGUACCCAGUCUGACAGAAGGGCCACAAAGAGCAAGGGAGAUCUCUGGUCUCUGACACCCUGGGCUUCUUCUGGUCGCUCCCCACAGAUGCCUGUGUCCCAGCUAUGAGACAUAAUCAGUGUGCACAAAUGGCUCUCGACUGCUCUAAUGCGGCUCUUGCUUCAGAUUGCUGGAUUUUCUUAGGGCCAGGUCCUGCCCAGUAUACGGGAGUCAUACUCGACCCAGAUUCAUGGCCAGGCCUCAGCACUCUUAACUACAGGUUGGGCAGCCAACCAGCUGGUCUGUCUCUCCAAGGCCAUCCCCGAAUGCCUGCAUCUUUCCCGCCUUGCCUUGCCACCCUUGUCUGGGAACUUUGCAGCAAAUGGCUGUGCCUGCUGAAAAAUGAUGCUAUCCCUGUAACAGACAUGGAGACAUUGGUGCAUAAAAGGAACCCUUGGUCUUUAAAUGGGUGCUCAGACCUUGCGGGGCUACCCAGGUCUGGGACCUCUUGCAUGAGUCAUUAAAGCUUCUCCUGUCCUCACC